AGUGUUUCCGCGCGUCUACGUGAGAGGAAGGUUGAUGGCUUUCAGGCCCGCUGGUAAAUGGAACGGGUUUAUCUUCUCCUCUUCUUUACCCAGCCAUUGUCCACACUUCCCCCGACCCGAUGGGUGGUCGAGGCUUGUAGAACUGAUCUUAAGACAGGGAAAUCCCUUGCGUCUCCAUUCACUUUGGGAUUCUGUGUCUCUGAGGUUAGAGAUGCCUCAAAGGGAUGUUCUCCGGGGGACCUUCCCAAAUCCGCGCUUAGCGGUGGCGAAGGGACUUCUUCCACACAGACUUCUCAAGGGCCAGCCGGCUGGUUUCUGCCGGCUCUUUCGCCAUCCACGAUUCUUUUGAUGUUCUCUUUUAUGUGCUGAUGUAUGAUUAUAUGUCAGAAAACCCGGUUCAAUGGAAAAACUAUAAAAAAAGGAUAAUUUAGUAAAAUAGCAAGAUAUAAAGUUAACACACUAAAAUCAACGACCUUCAUAUAUGUGAAUAAUCAAUGAUAACGAGUUACGAGAUAUAAUGGAAGAGAAGACCAUAUUUACAAGAGCAGCAAAAAAGUGAAACUAGGAAUAAACUUAACAAGAAAUGAACAAAACUUCUAUGGGGAAAGCUUUAAAACAUUCCUAAAAGGCCAAGUAUACAUUUAAACAAACAGAAAGCGAUAUGAGGUUCUUGGAAAGACUCAAAGAGGUCAGUCCUCCCUAAAUACGUAUGCAACUGUAGUAUUCCAACAAAAAUAUCAACAAAUAUUGUUCUGGAAUUAGAUAAACUGAUUAUAAAAUUCAUGUGGGGAAAUAAGAAUAGCCAGGAAACCCAUGAAAAAGAAAAAUGGUGAGGGUCAACCUUAUCAGAUACUGGAACAUACCCAUAUAAUUUUAGUGUAUUAACAGAGAGAAAGAAUAGACCAGAAAUGGAUCCAGGUAUGUAAGGAUAUUGAGUAAAUGAUGAAGGUGACACCACAUAUCAACAGGGAAAUGAAGAACUUAGAAGUUGUGCUGGGAUGAUAACCGUUUGGCAAAGAACAAUUGCUCUUGAAGUCCUGAGCCACCAUGGAAGAAGUCUGCCAACCCUGCUUUCCAGUGACUGAGUUGCAAGAAUCCUUCAAGAUGCCAAAAAGAUGACCCCAAAGUGAGCUUUGUGUGUCUCCGAGACCACAUAAAGAAGCUCUGAGACCACAUGGAGAAGAUCAGCCCGGCUAAGCCCACUUUUCUGGCUGUCCCUGCCAAGGCACUUGGCAUGGCAGUGAAGCUGUCUUGGAUUUUCCAGACAAAUUAUACUGCCAGAUGAAUACCAGCAUGUGAUCUUAGUUGACACCACAUGAAACAGAAGAAUUUCUCAGCUAAGUCCUCCCCAAAUUCCUGGCCCAAAACAUGAUGGUGUGUUUUUGUCCACUGUUUUGGAGUAACUAUUUAUGCAGCAAUAGAUAACAAGAUCAGAUGUUUACCAGAUUGUAACAGUUUGAUUAGACUAUUUCCUAAGAAUAUUAACUUUCCUUCGUUUCAAUGACAUAGUCAACAUGCAAUUUUCAAUUUGUAGUUGAUAUUUAAAUUUCCAGUUAGGAAAAAGCUUGAUGUUGAGGACUUGCACUAAAUUUUAGGCCAGGUAUAGCUCCAAUUUUUAUGGAAAUUAUUAUGUAUACAGUAUAAGGUAAUUUUUUAUAGGCUAUAGUUAACAAUUUCUUUUUUAUCUUUUUUUAUUAUUUAUUUAUUUUUUAUUAUACUUUAAGUUCUAGGGUACAUGUGCACAACGUGCAGGUUUGUUACAUAUGUAUACAUGUGCCAUGUUGGUUUGCUGCACCCACUAAUUCAUCAUUUACAUUAGGUAUUUCUCCUAAUGCUUUCCCCUAUCCCCCCACCCCACGACAGGCCCCGGUGUGUGAUGUACCCCGCCCUGUGUCCAAGUGUUCUCGUUGUUCAGUUCCCACCUAUGAGUGAGAACAUGUGGUGUUUGAUUUUCUGUCCUUGCCAUAGUUUGCUCAGAAUGAUGGUUUCCUGCUUCAUCCA
rnacentral:lncRNA from 1 species